GUCUAUCAUAUUUUAAUCACAAAAUCACAAAAAUAAAAGAUAAAAAAGUGAAUACAUAACCCGGAUAAUUAAGAAUUAAACUUGGUACAGUCCUUAAUCUUUAAUUUCUUCAAUGAUAUCGGAUGGCGCCUUUUUCUUCAAAAUCACCCAGAGCUUCCAAAGAUCUCUUGUAAUUUUGCUCCGAAGAAAAUUGAUGUCUUUUAUAUGGAAUUCCUCUAUAUGAUAUUCUAUUAUGUGGUGUGGGAUUCCACCUUUAUUUGACCUCGAUAUAAUCUUCAUAUAAAGGUUUACUUGCCUUGAAAAUCGUGUCCAAAAAUCUCCGUAGUGCAAUAAAAUUAGGAAAUUAAGUUUCCUAAACUCAAUCUCGAAGGGGACUCUUUGGGAUCGUAACGUGCUUGCUGCGGUCACUGAGAGUAAAACUUUUGUUCCCUGAGUAAAUCUUCAUAGAAAACUUUGUACACUAAUUUCCUCAUGUAGAUUUCCUAUUUCGCAGCCUUUGGUCUUUUGGUGCUUCAAAUCACUUCAAUUUUCUCAAUUGAUCUUUAAAUUUGGGGUUCAACUAGUAAACAAAAUAUAUAAUAAUACGAAUAGAAGUUCGCAAAGAUUUAUGUAGAUUUAAAAGUCUAUAUAACGUAUAAAACACACUUAUCAUAAUGGCUUUUACAAAAUUUGGAUAUAUGGUUUCAUAAGGUGGUGAGGUAUCUAAUCAAGAAAAUAUGUUUAGGUCAACCUUGCAAAUUUGAGAUACACAAAACUGGGUUUUCAUAAUUGAACAAUUGCAAUUCUUGAUAUUUGAAUGCUCAUUUGGAGGUCUGAUUGGCAAUCGACAUUAGAGGCUUCACAUUGAAAAGUUGAUUUGACCACGUGAUAAAGUGACACAACAUGAAUUCAAAUUAAUUUCAUCCGAGAGUUCGACCAAUGGUGUUGGUACUAACUUGGUUAUUUUGAUUGUGCAAGAUAAUCUAAAU
rnacentral:lncRNA from 1 species